GACGAACGCUGGCGGCGUGCUUAACACAUGCAAGUGGAGCGACGAACCGGGGCUUGCCCCGGGGCAGAGCCGCGAACGGGUGAGUAACACGUGGGUAACCUGCCUCAAUGAUUGGGACAACCCGGGGAAACUCGGGCUAAUACCAAAUGUGUUCACUCCUUCUAAGGGGAGUGAGGAAAGGAAGCUUCGGCCUCCGCAUUGAGAUGGGCCCGCGGCCCAUUAGCUUGUUGGUGAGGUAACGGCUCACCAAGGCUUCGAUGGGUAGCUGGUCUGAGAGGACGAUCAGCCACACUGGGACUGAGACACGGCCCAGACUCCUACGGGAGGCAGCAGUGGGAAUCUUGCACAAUGCGCGAAAGCGUGAUGCGGC
rnacentral:rRNA from 1 species